AGAACGAACGCUGGCGGCAUGUCUAACACAUGCAAGUCGAACGCUCGGGGUUUCGGCCCCGGGAGUGGCGCACGGGUGAGUAACGCGUGGGAACCUGCCCAGGAGUGGGGGAUAACCGAGGGAAACUUCGGCUAAUACCGCAUACGACCUGAGGGUGAAAGAUUUAUCGCUCUUGGAGGGGCCCGCGUCGGAUUAGGUAGUUGGUGGGGUAACGGCCUACCAAGCCUGUGAUCCGUAGCUGGUCUGAGAGGAUGAUCAGCCACACUGGGACUGAGACACGGCCCAGACUCCUACGGGAGGCAGCAGUGGGGAAUAUUGGACAAUGGGCGCAAGCCUGAUCCAGCAAUGCCGCGUGGGUGAUGAAGGCCUUAGGGUUGUAAAGCCCUUUCGGCGGGGACGAUGAUGACGGUACCGCAGAAGAAGCCCCGGCUAACUUCGUGCCAGUAGCCGC
rnacentral:rRNA from 1 species